rnacentral:rRNA from 1 species
AGAGUGAACGCUGGUGGUAGGCCUAACACAUGCAAGUCGAACGGCAGCACGGUAAGAGCUUGCUCUUAUGGGUGGCGAGUGGCGGACGGGUGAGGAAUACAUCGGAAUCUACCUUUUGGUGGGGGAUAACGUAGGGAAACUUACGCUAAUACCGCAUACGCCCUUCGGGGGAAAGCCGGGGACCAGCAAUGGCCUGGUGCU